GAUGAACGCUGGCGGCGUGCCUAAUACAUGCAAGUCGAGCGAACGGACGAGAAGCUUGCUUCUCUGAUGUUAGCGGCGGACGGGUGAGUAACACGUGGAUAACCUACCUAUAAGACUGGGAUAACUUCGGGAAACCGGAGCUAAUACCGGAUAAUAUUUUGAACCGCAUGGUUCAAAAGUGAAAGACGGUCUUGCUGUCACUUAUAGAUGGAUCCGCGCUGCAUUAGCUAGUUGGUAAGGUAACGGCUUACCAAGGCAACGAUGCAUAGCCGACCUGAGAGGGUGAUCGGCCACACUGGAACUGAGACACGGUCCAGACUCCUACGGGAGGCAGCAGUAGGGAAUCUUCCGCAAUGGGCGAAAGCCUGACGGAGCAACGCCGCGUGAGUGAUGAAGGUCUUCGGACCGUAAAACUCUGUUAUUAGGGAAGAACAUAUGUGUAAGUAACUGUGCACAUCUUGACGGCACCUAAUCAGAAAGCCACGGCUAACUACGUG
rnacentral:rRNA from 1 species